GUGGGGAAUAUUCCGCAAUGGACGAAAGUCUGACGGAGCAACGCCGCGUGAGUGAUGAAGGUUUUCGGACUGUAAAGCUCUGUUGUUUAGGACGAAAGUGCCUGUUGCAAAUAGUUACAGGUAUUGACGGUACUGAACGAGGAAGCCACGGCUAACUACGUGCCAGCAGCCGCGGUAAUACGUAGGUGGCAAGCGUUGUCCGGAAUUAUUGGGCGUAAAGAGCAUGUAGGCGGGAAUCUAAGUCUGUUGUGAAAAUGCGGGGCUCAACCCCGUAUUGCGAUGGAAAGUGGGUUUCUUGAGUGCAGGAGGGGAAAGGGGAAUUCCCAGUGUAGCGGUGAAAUGCGUAGAUAUUGGGAGGAACACCAGUGGCGAAGGCGCCUUUCUGGACUGUGUCUGACGCUGAGAUGCGAAAGCCAGGGUAGCGAACGGGAUUAGAUACCCGGGUAGUCC
rnacentral:rRNA from 1 species